GACGAACGCUGGCGGCAUGCUUAACACAUGCAAGUCGAACGGAAAGGCCCCUUUGGGGGUACUCGAGUGGCGAACGGGUGAGUAACACGUGAGUAACCUGCCCUUGACUUCGGGAUAACUUCAGGAAACUGGGGCUAAUACCGGAUAGGAAUCCUUGCUGCAUGGUGGGGGUUGGAAAGCUUCGGCGGUUUUGGAUGGACUCGCGGCUUAUCAGCUUGUUGGUGGGGUAGUGGCUUACCAAGGCUUUGACGGGUAGCCGGCCUGAGAGGGCGACCGGCCACAUUGGGACUGAGAUACGGCCCAGACUCCUACGGGAGGCAGCAGUGGGGAAUAUUGCACAAUGGGCGGAAGCCUGAUGCAGCAACGCCGCGUGCGGGAUGACGGCCUUCGGGUUGUAAACCGCUUUCAGCAGGGGCGAAGCUUGCGGUGACGGUACCUGCAGAAGAAGCACCGGCUAACUACGUG
rnacentral:rRNA from 1 species